rnacentral:rRNA from 1 species
GAUGAACGCUGGCGGCGUGCCUAACACAUGCAAGUCGAGCGAUUUACUUCGGUAAAGAGCGGCGGACGGGUGAGUAACGCGUGGGUAACCUGCCCUGUACACACGGAUAACAUACCGAAAGGUAUGCUAAUACGAGAUAACAUACUUUUAUCGCAUGGUAGAAGUAUCAAAGCUCUGGCGGUACAGGAUGGACCCGCGUCUGAUUAGCUAGUUGGUAAGGUAACGGCUUACCAAGGCGACGAUCAGUAGCCGACCUGAGAGGGUGAUCGGCCACAUUGGAACUGAGACACGGUCCAAACUCCUACGGGAGGCAGCAGUGGGGAAUAUUGCACAAUGGGCGAAAGCCUGAUGCAGCAGCGCCGCGUGAGCGAUGAAGGCCUUCGGGUCGUAGAGCUCUGUCCUCAAGGAAGAUAAUGACGGUACUUGAGGAGGAAGCCCCGGCUAACUACGUGCAGCCGCCGCCGUAA